CUUUGCUCUCCAGUUAACAAAUGAAGGGUUUGACACUGAAAUCGGAAAGGACAAACAAUGGAAAAGGG